AAGGAGUUAUAACAGUAGGGAGGGAGUUAUAACAGGGAGAUUAAGGAGUUAUAACAGGGAGAUUAAGGAGUUAUAACAGUAGGGAGGGAGUUAUAACAGUAGGGAGGGAGUUAUAACAGGGAGAAGAUGUGGCAGACAUCCAUUUCAUGGUUCUCCGUUUCACCCAUAAUAUGUGAUUAUUAUUAUUUUUUUCUUUCUUCGUGACAGAUUGAAUGCAUGUAUUAACACAAGACACCUUUUAUGCAACAAGGGUCUAGCUCUGGUCCAGGGCUUUGUGAUGCUGAGAUAUACAUUAACCUCCUGGACCGGAGCGAAGAGGAAACUAUCCUCUGUACUAUUAGAAGUAGGUCAUCAUCACUGAACUCGCCAUCACUCUUGACGCUGAGACACAAGCGUCCAAAUGGUGUAUGUAUAUUGUACCCGUAUUCAAUAGGACUUCCAUAGUCUCAACAGAUACUAGUAUCGCUGUCGACCGUCCAGACUUAGGAGCUGGUGUAGCCUUGGAAACCCGUAAGGGAUUAGUCCAUGUAAAGACUUCACACAAUGGAACUGCCUCACAACUGUGAACAGAGAACUGCUUCUCUAAUUGUUCCAACAUUGUCUUGGGAGGUUUUUUUUCCGACGGUGAGUAGCGUAGGAAGGAUGUUGCUAGUUUGGAGUUUCUUGAUUGCCAGAUUGGAGACGGUUGGAUCCUUCUCGUGUGAACAGACUGCGCCAACACGGAGGAAGCAGGCAGGGAUAACAUUUUGUUCAGUUACUGUGAUGGAUGUAUCGAUACAUAUGUAGACAUUCAUUUAAUAUGUUAUCUAUGUUAUAUGAAAAUAAAUGUUUGAUGCAUUUGUCAAAUUUUUAACGUUUUUUUUUUGUCACGUGCGCUAGUAUAGUGUAAUGCCUUUCUUGAAUGCUCUUUCUCAAUAACAAAGUCAAGUAGAACAACACAAGAAAUUGAAUUCAGAAGAACACGAGAAUGUAGGUAAGCUAUAUACAGGGUAAUUUCCAGUACCAUAUUAACAAUGCGCAGGGAUACUGUAGUGAUGGAGGUAGAUAUGUAUAGGGGGAAGGGAUUAGGGAUACUGUAGUGAUGGAGGUAGAUAUGUAUAGGGGGAAGGGAUUAGGGAUACUGGAGUGAUGGAGGUAGAUAUGUAUAGGGGGAAGGGGACAGGGAUACUGGAGUGAUAGAGGUAGAUAUGUAUAGGGGACAGGGAUACUGGAGUGAUGGAGGUAGAUAUGUAUAGGGGGAAGGAGACAGGGAUACUGGAGUGAUGGAGGUAGAUAUGUAUAGGGGACAGGGAUACUGUAGUGAUGGAGGUAGAUAUGUAUAGGGGACAGGGAUACUGGAGUGAUGGAGGUAGAUAUGUAUAGGGGUAAGGUGACUAUAUAUCAGGAUAUAUGAUAAACAGAGUAGCAGCAAACGUAUAUGAUGGUUGUAUGUAAGUGGGUGUAGAGUCAGUAUGAAUGUGUGGGUGUGUCUGUGUGUGUGAGUGAGGGUAGAGACAAAUAAAAUAGCAUGGUUCAAUGCAGAUCAAUCAGUCAAAUGUAUUUAUAAAUCCCUUUUUACGUAGUCUUCUGUUGGUAGAGCAUGGCUUUGCAACACCAUGACAGUGGGUUUGAUUCCCAGGACUACCCAUAUAUAAAAUCUAUGCUCA
rnacentral:lncRNA from 1 species